AUUUAUUCUGUAAGUUAUGACUAAUUUGGGGUUUUUUCUACCUUUCAUUUUAAGAAGUGGGGUCCAUGUGUUCAGACUAACUUCAAAGAACCUGAACUUUUUAUAAUAUCCAUUUGGGUCUUCGUAGCAUUUUCAAAAAUAGUCUUCACAAGUUUCUCUAACAACAAUCGCUGUUUUAGCAAAUUAGAAAAGUGUAAACAAUCAAAUAGUAAUGCUGCUGUAGAUGACAUUAGAUAUGCCAUGAUGUCAAAUCCCCAAUUAUUGAUCAUUAGACUCUAUUAAACUCAAAAUAAAUUUUAUUCAAAUUUGGGUAUUGUGUGACUUGUAAGCCAACCUAAUUAUUUAACCUCUUGACUAAUUACAAUUAGUGAAAAUUUAUUUCUUCUCCUCCAGGAGUACCGUCAACAUAAUAAAGAAAAUUGCCACUGUAUGGUUUUAAUACCUUUGUUUCCUCCCAGUUCUGAGCUGUCUGUGUGCUGGUGUGAUCACCCCAGUAUAAAUUAGAGUACCCUAAGGGUUUCUAUAAGUUUUAUAUUGGAUGCCAGUGGCAUUAGAGGCUGACAUGGCAACUGGAAAUUAGCAGGGUAGAAGAGCCCCACCCAUGUCUCCUCCUUUUUUUCUGGUCACACGUUCUUUGCCAGAGGUACAGAGGACUUGCUGUUCUGUCUCUGCACAACAGAAGAAUUCUCUUUUCUGAGAGUGAUCGCCCUGCGACCAUCAACACCUUUGACUUGACAUUGCUAUGAUUCAAAACAUACAAUGUCUUAAUCUGGAAAAGAUCAAAGUUUCAUUUUUAUGAAAGUGUCUUCAUUUCAUAUUCUAAAAAUCAUGUCCAAUGCCUCGCAAGCCACAAAAUCAUGGGUAGAAGUAAAACUGUUAAGGGACACCCCUUCAUUUAUCAUAGAUCCGAGUAUUCUGUGGGUAUAGAAAGGUCUGUCCCCUAGCGCAUCCUCAUUAUGUUCUGUUGUGCAACACUUUCAUUGUUUUCUAUUUUUAAUAUUAUACUUUCAAUGUACAGUAGGUUAAAGUUUAGGUAAACCAAUGACAUCCUAAGCCUUGGUAAACUUGGGUCUUUGUCAUGGUACAAGUGGAAAGGUAAUCACUUUUCACAUUAUUCACUACAGCAGUAGUCCUUUAAUGGACCAACAUGCCCAAAGCCAAAAAUGCCUUGGAGAUGUGGGCAUUCACCUCACAACUGUUUGCUUUUUGUACUCUUUCUGCCCUAAGUCUGAAGUGAGAGGGAUAGGAAUCUUAAGGUUUUUUAGAAGAAGGGAACAGCUAAGUCUGACCAAAAACUCCUUGAGUCAUCAAUACCAACGUCUGAUCUAAGUCAUACCAAUGAAAUCCAUUCAUUUGUCCGUUGUCGUCAUCUGAUGUUGAAUACGUUCCCUUGGAUGAUAUCUGUGUAGUCUUUUCUCUGUGGUAUCCUCUUUGCUGCUAUCAUCAAGGCUCAAGAAAAAGUAGGCCCUCAAGUGAUUCAAGGAGCAAAAGAAAAGCCGAUUGAAUUUCCUCUCUAAAUGCAUUAUUUCAAUCUAGACAGGAUUUGGACUCCUCUGGAAAAUAUCAUUUUUUCUGGUGUGAUGGUCCUGUCUAGAUCAUGUUUUGCUGGAGAUUUCCUUUGCACUAUCAAUUCUGUCUUGUUAAAAUGGACAUUCACAGUUUAGGUUGUGGGAUACUCAUCUGGGCCUGUUGGUUAUCCAAGACCUUUGAAGACUAAUGGAGGUCAUAUGGCACACAACUUUUGGGCCUGUAAAUUGCUGUCUCUGAAUGUUGCUCCUCUGAUCAAAUCUAUCCUUGAACCUGAAUGAGAUCAGCUGUUGGAUGAAGAACAGCUGACUGAAG